ensembl:snRNA U6 U6 spliceosomal RNA
GUGCUUGCUUCAACAGCACAUAUACUAAAAUUGGAGCAAUACAGAGAAGAUUAGCAUGGCCCCUGCACAAGGAUGACAUGCAAAUUAGUGAAGCGUUCCAUAUUUUU